AGUUUCCUCUCUCCUGGUGAAGCCACGUAGGCAGACAUGUCAUAAACUCGAGUAAGGAGACGGCACCACGUGUCUCAUUUAAUGAAACGCGAAGUUUCGUGAUCCGACUUUCUUAUGGGCUUCGAUUGGGCUUUGUAACGCGUUCUAUUUUGCGGCCCGGCGACCCGGAAGGGGAUAGAAACCAAUACGGAAUGGAGCCCAGCUUUCGUUUUUCUUCGUUUAUCUCCGAUCGGCGGACGACGAUUCAGAUCUAUGUAACGGUAUGCGUUGUUAAUUUUCGUAUUAAUCCUCUUAAUUCGUAAACCCACUACGAGACCUUCGAUUGAGUUGUUCGUCGGCGAAUCGUGUAUAAAUAUGUAACAAUCACUCCUCUGCGAAUUGCAGUAUCCACAUCUCUCUUCGAUUGAGGAUAUAUAAAAAUGGCGAUUCCAUUCCCUCAGAUAAAUCUUUGGAUUAUGGUGCAAAUUUUUACCACAUGUUGGGAUUUGAUGAUGAUAAAAUGAAAGAGCGCAUGAGGCUUUACAUCACGAUCCACAGUGAUCAUGAGGGUGGAAACGUUAGUACUCACACUGGUCACCUGGUCGGUAGUGCACUUUCAGAUACGUAUCUGUCAACCGUUUAGUUGGGCCACUCCAUGGUUUGGCUAACCAGGAAGUUUUGCUUUGGAUCAAAUCAGUUGUUGAGGAAUGUGGAGAAAACAUAUCGAAAGACCAGUUGAAAGAAUAUGUCUGGAAAACAUUAAACAGUGGCAAGUGAAGCCGCAGCUUCGGCCAUUAAUGGUGGCGAAAGGAAAUCUUGGUGGCGGAGGAGGGACGUCAUCACUUGGCGCUGGUGGUGGUGGUGGUCUGGGUUGGUUUGCGUUACGGGCGCCUGCACCUCCUAUCAAGUUCUCCAACGACACCGAGGGGCUAUAAACAGCAUAAUCUGUUAGUGCUCAUAACAAACGUGUCAUUGAUAUAGGGAUUGUGGACCUUCUAAGUAAUAAGCUAUUGAUCGAAAAAAAAUCUCAUGUAAUAGUUGACAUUUCUACAGUCAAAAUUAAACUUUACAUAUUAGGUGUAUAAUUAAUUAAUUAUGGAGAAGUUUAUAUGUUGAUAUA